rnacentral:rRNA from 1 species
UACGUAGGGUCCGAGCGUUGUCCGGAAUUAUUGGGCGUAAAGGGCUCGUAGGCGGUCUGUUGCGUCGGGAGUGAAAACUUACAGCUUAACUGUGAGCGUGCUUCCGAUACGGGCAGACUAGAGGUAUUCAGGGGAGAACGGAAUUCCUGGUGUAGCGGUGGAAUGCGCAGAUAUCAGGAGGAACACCGGUGGCGAAGGCGGUUCUCUGGGAAUUACCUGACGCUGAGGAGCGAAAGCAUGGGGAGCGAACAGG